UGAACUUGAAGAAAGAAGUUCCAGA
rnacentral:piRNA from 1 species